rnacentral:rRNA from 1 species
GGGGGAUAUUGCACAAUGGGGGAAACCCUGAUGCAGCGAUGCCGCGUGGAGGAAGAAGGUUUUCGGAUUGUAAACUCCUGUCGUAAGGGACGAAGAAGUGACGGUACCUUACAAGAGAGCUCCGGCUAACUACGUGCCAGCAGCCGCGGUAAUACGUAGGGAGCGAGCGUUGUCCGGAAUUACUGGGUGUAAAGGGAGCGUAGGCGGGAUGGUAAGUCAGAUGUGAAAACUAUGGGCUCAACCCAUAGACUGCAUUUGAAACUGCUGUUCUUGAGUGAAGUAGAGGUAAGCGGAAUUCCUAGUGUAGCGGUGAAAUGCGUAGAUAUUAGGAGGAACAUCGGUGGCGAAGGCGGCUUACUGGGCUUUUACUGACGCUGAGGCUCGAAAGCGUGGGGAGCAAACAGGAUUAGAUACCCUGGUAGUCCACGCUGUAAACGAUGAUUACUAGGUGUGGGGGGACUGACCCCUUCCGUGCCGCAGUUAACACAAUAAGUAAUCCACCUGGGGAGUACGGCCGCAAGGCUGAAACUCAAAGGAAUUGACGGGGGCCCGCACAAGCAGUGGAGUAUGUGGUUUAAUUCGAAGCAACGCGAAGAACCUUACCAGGUCUUGACAUCGAGUGACGUACCUAGAGAUAGGUAUUUCCUUCGGGACACAAAGACAGGUGGUGCAUGGUUGUCGUCAGCUCGUGUCGUGAGAUGUUGGGUUAAGUCCCGCAACGAGCGCAACCCUUACCAUUAGUUGCUACGCAAGAGCACUCUAAUGGGACUGCCGUUGACAAAACGGAGGAAGGUGGGGAUGACGUCAAAUCAUCAUGCCCCUUAUGACCUGGGCUACACACGUAAUACAAUGGCCGUUAACAGAGGGAAGCAAAGCGGUGACGCAGAGCAAAACCCUAAAAACGGUCCCAGUUCGGACUGUAGGCUGCAACCCGCCUACACGAAGUUGGAAUUGCUAGUAAUCGCGGAUCAGCAUGCCGCGGUGAAUACGUUCCCG